GGUGCGUAUCUUGAAUGUCAAAACGACUCUCGGCAACGGAUAUCUCGGCUCUCGCAUCGAUGAAGAACGUAGCGAAAUGCGAUACUUGGUGUGAAUUGCAGAAUCCCGUGAACCAUCGAGUCUUUGAACGCAAGUUGCGCCCGAAGCCUUCGGGCCGAGGGCACGCCUGCCUGGGCGUC
rnacentral:rRNA from 5 species